rnacentral:rRNA from 1 species
CCUACGGGGUGCUGCAGUGAGGAAUAUUGGUCAAUGGGCGGAAGCCUGAACCAGCCAAGUAGCGUGCGGGAUGAAGGCCCUACGGGUCGUAAACCGCUUUUGCCCGGGGAUAACACCAUCCACUUGUGGAGGUCUGCAGGUACCGUGCGAAUAAGGGCCGGCUAAUUCCGUGCCAGCAGCCGCGGUAAUACGGAGGGCUCGAGCGUUAUCCGGAUUUAUUGGGUUUAAAGGGUGCGCAGGCGGGCUGUUAAGCCGGCGGUAAAAAUUCGGGGCUCAAACCUGUCGCGCCGUUGGAACUGGCAGUCUUGAGUGGGCGAGAAGUAUGCGGAAGGCGUGGUGUAGCGGUGAAAUGCAUAGAUAUCACGCAGAACGCCGAUUGCGAAGGCAGCAUACCGGCGCCAAACUGACGCUGAGGCACGAAAGCGUGGGGAUCGAACAGGAUUAGAUACCCGAGUAGUC